UACAAUUUGAGAAGAGGCGAGGUGGGCGGUGGGAACAAGGGCUUCCUGAGCAGUGGCAGUGGUUAGCAACAGUCCUCUUCGACUUAGACUCAUGGCCAGCCUUGGAGACUUAGUGGGGUGGCAAGAUUUCUCAAGGCAGUGUGUUGCAGGGCCCUGAGUACCAGACAGGGAAGAGGGCAAGAAGAGAAGUAGUCCAAGGGCUUGGAUUUGGAUCGUGCCUCUCUGUCUCUUAUGGGAUUAGCUGUGUGACCUUGCACAAAGCACCUCUCUCUCUGGACCUCAGUCUGCUCAUCUCUCAAACUGGAGAGUAGGGCCAGCUUGCUUGCAAGAGUCCCUUCCACUUGUGAUUCUGUGCUCCCCAGCCAGCCACCAGUGUGCCUCUGUAAACUUGGCCCACAGUCAAGCAUCAGCCCACACACCCUGUGUGACCUUUCCUAGGAGGCUACAUUUGUCCCAGCUUGAGCCUUUUCCCUGAUGGAGCCAGUGAGAGCCCUAUGGGAGAACAGCAGGCCCUGUGUCUGCAAGAGCUGGACCCCUGGCCCUCCCCAGCAGCAGGUCCUCCCAUCUCCUGCAUUCCAGUGCAUCCUCUUCCCUGGCCUGUAGCUUCUCGAGCUUGUGCUAGAGCAGUGUGUAACAUUGUGCUUUCUUCUCAUCUUGUGCUUGCAGGGCCGGCAGCGGGAUUUAGAGCUGCAGCGGCAGAGAGGUGAGCGCAAAAUCCAGCAGCUGCAGCAGAUGAUCGCUGAGCUCGAGAAGGACAAGGGCUUUGGACCCAGAGCCUGGCAGGAGCAUGGUGCUGGGGAGGCCCUUCCCCCUGCCCUGGAGAAGCUUCAGGGGCAUCACAGUCAGCUGGAGAACUUCAGGCAGCAGCUGCUGCAUGUGGCUGGGCUUCUGACCAGCUUCAUAAACCAAACCCUUAACAGAACAAUCAAUGACUGGACAUCAUGAGAUAAAGGGGCUGCAACGUCCUUGCUGUUUAUUCUGGAGGAAUUGAAAUCAGAAUUGAUGUCAGGCCUCACUCAAAUAAGUUGGAGCCACAGUCCUCAUUGGAAAUGAGUGAGGCCCCCAAGGGAAGUGGGAGAGAUAUCCUUGCCCACCAUGCUGUGACUAGGUGGCAAAUGUGUCAGAUGCGGGGUCUCCUGCUCCUUCCUCUGAAGUCUGCCUUUGAAAAAAAAUUUUAAAAAGGCCAGCUGGUGAUGCCCAGUGGCAGGAGUGAAAUCCAGGAGCUUCUCCCCCAGGAAGAAGUUGCUCCUCUUUGUCUUGGGGAUGCUGUUGCUUGUGGCUUCGCUGGCUCAUGGUGCUUGCUAUUUCUACCCCUCUGGACUCCAUAACAUCCAUCCUGCUAUGCUCUCCUGGUGGGCAGCCAAGGGUAGCAGCAGGAGAGAGGACAUGUGGGAAUCAGGAGAAUUCACCCCAUAUUUGCAGCCAAAUGUCUACCCUGGCAAUGGAUGGGCUUUCCAGGGUCCCCAGAGCUUUGUUGGGGUUUGCUUGUCUGCCUGCAUCGACCUCACUGCCAUCACUGUGGAGCAUGUGCCCAGAGCCCUGUCCUCAAUCAGCAACAUCACCAGAGCCCCCAAGGACUUUGUCAUCUUGGGGCUCAAUGAAGAUUCCCAGGUGGAGGGGGUGGCCCUCAGACAGUUCACCUAUGAUAAUGCUGGGGAAGCCAUUCAGACCUUCCACUUUCAGGGCAACAGCACAGCCCUUUACCAGGUGGUAGAGCUUCGAGUCUUGAGCAACUGGGUCACCUGGAGUAUACCUGCAUUUACAGCUUCCAGGUCCAUGGCAAGCUUGCCAAUUAGUACCUCCCUGCUAGGUCCCUUUACCCCUUCCUCCUUCAGCCACCAGCAAGCAGCUCUCCCACUUCUUCCUGCCUCCCCCAGGCUCAUUCCCUUCUGGGCACUAUGGCUUCUGGGAGAGAGACAGAAGGUGGGAGCCCUCCUCCAUGGAGCCAUCUUGCCCCACCAAGCCCUCUCUGAUAUGGACAAGACCACCAGCUGAGCAACUUGUUUCAAUUCCCAUCAUCUGCAGGGUCAGGUGGCCCAGCUUCCUGCCAGGCCCUGCCCACCUCCAAGAGGAUCAUCAGCCUGUGUGGUUGUGGCUAUGGUGGCCAGGAGACUAGCCGGGAUCCCGUUGAGAUUGGCCCUUCCCUGGCCCUGUCUAGGGUUGGCGUUGAGCUGAUGUUACCCCCUAUCCUUGGGGUAGAUGUGACAUGGCCCAGGUGCCUCUGCAGGGAAGCGGGGCAUUGGAAGCUCAUCAGGCUCUUACUUUGAGCUCUGAUUCUGGUUCCUUUUGGGCCUGAUAGAAGACAUAAGGGCUUCAUUCCUGGGUGCCUCCCCAGGUCCCCGGGGUGAUAGUCACUGCAGCCCCAGCUUGGAGGUGGGGGGCUGGCCGUGAAACACUGAUGCCCUCAGCGAUAUCACUGUCGUUUUUGCCUCUUACCAUCAGGAGGGAAGGCAGCAGUUCACACACCACAGGGCUGGCCACUGGUUGCAGAAACCAGCAGGGGGAGCCCAAGGUUCUGCAGCUUUCAGGGGCCAGCAGCAGUAGGUGCAGGGCUGACCCCAGCUGCCCCUCAGGCCCAGUCUGCUCCCUCUGCUUUCGUCCCCUCCCCAGGAAGCUAGGAUCUGAGUGGCCCCACAUUGGAACCUACAGAUGAGGGCUUAGCACUUCCUCAUCACAAAGACUACUGUUUAAUUUUCUAGUUUUAUUUAGUUAUCGACAUAUUCUAAUUUAUGCCUGUGCUAAAAUAAAU